rfam:Salmo salar isolate Sally breed double haploid chromosome ssa11, whole genome shotgun sequence.
UGCAUUCACUACUAUAAGUCGCUCUGGAUAAGAGCUUCUGCUAAAUGACUAAAA